rnacentral:piRNA from 1 species
UGAGGGCCUUUUCAUAGUUCAUUCUUGG